AGAAUCAACGCUGGCGGCGUGCCUAACACAUGCAAGUCGAACGAGAAAGGGGUAGCAAUACCCUGAGUAAAGUGGCGCACGGGUGAGUAACACGUGACUAACUUACCCUUGAGUGGGGGAUAACUGAGGGAAACCUUAGCUAAUACCGCAUAAUACCCACGGGUCAAAGGAGCAAUUCGCUCGAGGAGGGGGUCGCGGCCGAUUAGUUAGUUGGCGGGGUAAUGGCCCACCAAGACGAUGAUCGGUAUCCGGCCUGAGAGGGCGCACGGACACACUGGAACUGAAACACGGUCCAGACUCCUACGGGAGGCAGCAGUGGGGAAUUUUGCGCAAUGGGGGAAACCCUGACGCAGCAACGCCGCGUGGAGGAUGAAGUCCUUCGGGACGUAAACUCCUUUCGAUCGGGACGAUUAUGACGGUACCGGAAGAAGAAGCCCCGGCUAACUUCGCGCCAGCAGCCGC
rnacentral:rRNA from 1 species